rnacentral:lncRNA from 1 species
UUUGAGAUUUAGCAAACUUCAUUUUGUGAAUAAUUAUUUCCUCAGUUGAAAUGUGCGUUUUAGUAGUAUUAUUUACAUAGCAAUAAUAUGUAAUUUUUUCUCCUUGUGUCUUCCCUGUCAGCAUAUCUCAGUGACCUGGUCGUAUUUAUUAAGAUAGUGUAUUCAGCUCCUUUCACAAGAAGAUACUGCUAUUCAGAGACAUUAAGUAAUUUCUCUAACCUUUGUGAUAAGUAAGUUAUGAUAUUCUACCUCACCAAAGUAGAUACUUUGGCUUUCGAUCUCUUUUGUUCCCUCUGAUAUCUCAUUUAUAUCUUAUUUUAUAGACAUAUGAUAUUUGUAAAUCACAAAGCAGCUGGCUCUAAAACUAUAUGCUUGUUGAAAUUUAUAAUAAAAGAAUUUUUAUUUACCUGAUGUAAUCUCGGAGGCUUGCUGCUGAAUAAGUUUACCCUUUCUAGUUUUUAAUUGAACUCUGGUUGGCUGGUUCAACUCAGGUAUUUUGGCUCAAAAUCCUCUCAAAGCUGACUGAUUUCCAUCUGGCUUCUCCAAGCUUCUCACUGAAUUUCUUUGCUUGGCCUCAAACUAACUCUGGCAAUUUGUUAUAAUCUUCUAGGUCCUUUUUAUUCUCUGGCUUUCACGGCCUCUGCUGACCUGCACUGAACUUCAUAAACUUAUGAAUGAACUCAACUCCAGUGUACUGUACUCACUGCACUGACUCCCAACUGCUCAAUUCAGCUGAUUCCCUACUUCCCGACUCUCUGUCUCUCUUUGCUGCUCUUAAAUAGCUUCUCUUGAGAGUUGGGCAUAUCCCACCUCUGACUCAUCCUGUUACAUCUUUCUCUUGUUACUUUGACCCUCAAAUAUAUAUCAUUGUUUGGUAUUAAAGGUGUAUACUAAGGGCAUAUCUUUACUCUAGCCAAGUCACACAGAGGUCAUUGGGUAUGCACAGAGCAACCAUUGUGCAGGAUUAAAAUUCCUCUGCAGAAAUUGCCUCCUUUUCAUUAUGUUAGUUACUGAGAAAUCACUAUCCUGACUGAUAUUUCCCUUUACUAACUUAUUAAAAAUACAUUUCCUUAACUUUUUCUUUGUAAAAGCUACUCCAUACAAGAGCUUUCUAGUGCUGAAGUGUUCAGUAUUCUGAGCUUGAAAUUUAUAUACAUAUGUACACCAUUAAAUAAGGUUAGGAAUAUGGAUGGCCCUGAUCAUCUAUACAUGUAUAGUACAUGAAUACACUUAUGAAUACACUUGCACAGGUAUGGACACCUGUCGAUUGGCCACUAGGAUAUAAAUGUAUUAGUAUGUCUUUAUUUGUGUUAUAGAAAAAUUCACCACAUCUUUUUAAUUUAAUGCUUAAGAUGAGAAUAUUAGAGAUACUAUGGAAAUGUAGCUUAAUUUUUAGAGUGCCUGCCUAACCUAUGC